rnacentral:rRNA from 1 species
UACGUAGGGUGCGAGCGUUGUCCGGAAUUAUUGGGCGUAAAGAGCUCGUAGGCGGUGUGUCGCGUCGGUCGUGAAAACUUGGGGCUUAACCCUGAGCGUGCGGUCGAUACGGGCAUCACUUGAGUUCGGCAGGGGAGACUGGAAUUCCUGGUGAUAGCGGUGAAAUGCGCAGAUAUCAGGAGGGAACACCGGUGGCGAAGGCGGGUCUCUGGGCCGAUACUGACGCUGGAGGAGCGAAAGCGUUGGGGAGCGAACAGG